UCCCGUGUGGCUCAGUUGGUAGAGCAUGGUGUUUGCAACGCCAGGGUUGUGAGUUGAUUCCCACGGGGG
rnacentral:tRNA from 1 species